AGUUCCUACGGGGGGCAGCAGUGGGGAAUAUUGGGCAAUGGGCGCAAGCCUGACCCAGCAACGCCGCGUGAAGGAAGAAGGCUUUCGGGUUGUAAACUUCUUUUCUCAGGGACGAAGAAAGUGACGGUACCUGAGGAAUAAGCCACGGCUAACUACAUGCCAGCAGCCGCGGUAAUACGUAGGUGGCAAGCGUUAUCCGGAUUUAUUGGGUGUAAAGGGCGUGUAGGCGGGAGCGCAAGUCAGAUGUGAAAACUAAGGGCUCAACCCUGAGCCGGCAUUUGAAACUGGGUUUCUUGAGUGCUGGG
rnacentral:rRNA from 1 species